UACGGGGGGGAGCAAGCGUUGUUCGGAUUUACUGGGCGUAAAGAGCGUGUAGGCGGCCAGGUAGGUCGGUUGUGAAAACUGGAGGCUCAACCUUCAGAGGUCGACCGAAACCAUCUGGCUAGAGUCCGGGAGAGGAGAGUGGAAUUCCUGGUGUAGCGGUGAAAUGCGCAGAUAUCAGGAAGAACACCCGUGGCGAAAGCGGCUCUCUGGAACGGUACUGACGCUGAGACGCGAAAGCGUGGGGAGCGAACAGG
rnacentral:rRNA from 1 species